AAGUCGUAACAAGGUUUCCGUAGGUGAACCUGCGGAAGGAUCAUUAUGAAUCAGUAGCUUGCUACUGCGCUGGGGGAGAUGGGAAAGUCCUGGCUGAAAAGUUAGUGUACCGGUACCUGCACCCCUAUCAUACCCUUGUCUUUUAAGCACUUAUGUUUCCUUGGUGGGCUUGCCUGCCGAUAGGACAACUUUUAAACCUUUAAAUAUGUCAAUCAGCGUCUGAAAAAUAAUUAAUAAUUACAACUUUCAACAACGGAUCUCUUGGUUCUG
rnacentral:misc_RNA from 1 species